UUGCAUUAUCGCAUAUAUGGUGGUAAUUCAAUCAAAUUUUUUAGCCUAAUGAGAUAGGCAAUAACAAUAAAUAUCAGCCGAGUUUAAAGCAUAAUGAUUGAUGACUACAUUACCUACUCUGAUGCCAGUGUGAAUAUAAAGAUUGUGUCAAGACAUUGUCCUAGUCGGUAUUUAUUUAUUGCAAAUUAACAUUAUCUUAGUGUUCUCAUUAUUCUUCAUGAAUUGAUUUUAUACAGGAGAUGGUUGCUAAGGAGUUUGGCAUACCAGUUCAAUUUCAGCGGUUUUGGCUGUGGGCGAAGUGUCAAAACCAUACAUAUCGUCCAAACCGUCCGUUGAUUCCCAUGAAGGAAACACAACAUGUUGGGCAGUUGAGGGAGGUAUCAAAUAAGGCACAUUACUUCAUAAUGCAGAACUCAAGUUGUUCUUGGAAAUAGAGCUUGGACGGGAAAUUAAGUACGAGCCAACUGUCAUGGGUGAACCCAUCGACAUGAAAUUCACAUUUUGAGCGAGCCAGCUGCUGAGAUCCUCGAAAGUAUCAGCAAGUGUUCUUGGUGCAGCCGCUGUAUUAUGGAUUUUCUUUGAGUUGCUUGAAUACCAUUUGAUCACCUUGGGCUCCACUAGAUCCAGCCCCACAAAUCUCAAUAGUUAAAUUCCUGAGAAGUGUGUCAUGGAGCUUGCCUCUGCAAUGAGGAUUGAACUCAACAAAGGGUUCCAUGUUUUGUGGGAUAUUGCAUUUUGAAGAGGUUUGAAGACAUUCCUCGGUGUAAGUUGAUUGUUCCCUCAUAGUUGGAUGUAUAAAUAAGCAAUUGUUGGGCGUAUAUACUCAUUAGGUGUCCCUUUGGUUAUCAGAUUAUAGCUGUCCUCUGGAUUCUGUCAAAGAUUGGGAAAUGGUUCGACUUCCUGACCUUAUUACUUGAGUGAAGAUUUCAUUCUACCCUUGUCUACCUUCGGAAGUUUUUCUGCAUUUUGGUUUUGAAACCUUUCAUUUUUAAUAGGCAUCAUCUUGAAAAUUGAAUGACAGCUUUUGUCUUGCUGCACACCCUGCCGGUGGUCUAUGAGAAAUAUGUUGUCCAGAUUGAUGCUUUUACUGAGAAGACAUGGAUUAAGUUUAAGAAGCCCGGUUUCAAGU